GACGGGUGAGUAAUGUCUGGGAAACUGCCUGAUGGAGGGGGAUAACUACUGGAAACGGUAGCUAAUACCGCAUAACGUCGCAAGACCAAAGAGGGGGACCUUCGGGCCUCUUGCCAUCGGAUGUGCCCAGAUGGGAUUAGCUAGUAGGUGGGGUAAAGGCUCACCUAGGCGACGAUCCCUAGCUGGUCUGAGAGGAUGACCAGCCACGCUGGAACUGAGACACGGUCCAGACUCCUACGGGAGGCAGCAUG
rnacentral:rRNA from 1 species